rnacentral:rRNA from 1 species
AGUGAACGCUGGCGGUAGGCCUAACACAUGCAAGUCGAACGGCAGCACAGUAAGAGCUUGCUCUUACGGGUGGCGAGUGGCGGACGGGUGAGGAAUACAUCGGAGUCUACUUUUUCGUGGGGGAUAACGUAGGGAAACUUACGCUAAUACCGCAUACGACCUACGGGUGAAAGCAGGGGAUCUUCGGACCUUGCGCGAUUGAAUGAGCCGAUGUCGGAUUAGCUAGUUGGCGGGGUAAAGGCCCACCAAGGCGACGAUCCGUAGCUGGUCUGAGAGGAUGAUCAGCCACACUGGAACUGAGACACGGUCCAGACUACUACGGGAGGCAGCAGUGGGGAAUAUUGGACAAUGGGCGCAAGCCUGGUCCAGCCAUACCGCGUGAGUGAAGAAGGCCUUCGGGUUGUAAAGCCCUUUUGUUGGGAAAGAAAAGCAGCAGGUUAAUACCCCGCUGUUCUGACGGUACCCAAAGAAUAAGCACCGGCUAACUUCGUG